AUUGAACGCUGGCGGCAGGCCUAACACAUGCAAGUCGAACGGUAACAGAAAGCAGCUUGCUGCUUUGCUGACGAGUGGCGGACGGGUGAGUAAUGUCUGGGAAACUGCCUGAUGGAGGGGGAUAACUACUGGAAACGGUAGCUAAUACCGCAUAACGUCGCAAGACCAAAGAGGGGGACCUUCGGGCCUCUUGCCAUCGGAUGUGCCCAGAUGGGAUUAGCUAGUAGGUGGGGUAACGGCCUACCAAGGCGACGAUCAGUAGCCGGCCUGAGAGGGUGAACGGCCACAUUGGGACUGAGACACGGCCCAA
rnacentral:rRNA from 1 species